rnacentral:tRNA from 1 species
GAAUAAGAAGUAAAUCAUUACAUUCAGUUUCGACCUGAAAAAAUGGUAUAACUUAUACCCUUAUUCU